rnacentral:rRNA from 1 species
CCUAUGGGUGGCUGCAGUGGGGAAUAUUGGACAAUGGGCGAAAGCCUGAUCCAGCCAUGCCGCGUGUGUGAAGAAGGCCUUCGGGUUGUAAAGCACUUUCAGUGGGGAAGAAAGCCUUGGGGCUAAUACCCUCGAGGAAGGACAUCACCCACAGAAGAAGCACCGGCUAACUCCGUGCCAGCAGCCGCGGUAAUACGGAGGGUGCGAGCGUUAAUCGGAAUUACUGGGCGUAAAGCGCGCGUAGGCGGUCUGAUAAGCCGGUUGUGAAAGCCCCGGGCUCAACCUGGGAACGGCAUCCGGAACUGUCAGGCUAGAGUGCAGGAGAGGAAGGUAGAAUUCCCGGUGUAGCGGUGAAAUGCGUAGAGAUCGGGAGGAAUACCAGUGGCGAAGGCGGCCUUCUGGACUGACACUGACGCUGAGGUGCGAAAGCGUGGGUAGCAAACAGGAUUAGAUACCCAGUAGUC